rnacentral:rRNA from 1 species
UUUAGUAAGAAUUUAAUUUUGGUUCCGAUUGAACGUUUUUCAGUAGUUUUAAGACAUGCAAAUCGUUGUUUUCGAAAUUGAAUUUGUAUAAUUAAAAAUGGUUUACCAAUUUUAAUGUACGAAGGAUAUUAGGAGAUAAGGUGUAGAGGUGAGGACAGUAAAUAAGAUGCCCUAUAGUCUUCAGAAAUAGAAGAUAUUUCUUUUUAUUAAAGAAGAAAAUAAAAUAGCUAUUUUAUAAAGAAAGGAAAUUUAUCUGCUAUAGGAUUCUAUUUAUUUCGAUUAGGUAGUUGAUAGGGUAAAGGCCUACCAAGCCAACGAUCGAUAGCUAAGCUUGAAAGAGCCAAUGGCCACAUUGGGAAUGAGAUCUCCCAAGUAGAUUUUUAUUAUUAUAAAUAUGCUACCAGCAGUCAAGAAUAUUAGUCAAUGCUCGCAAGAGUGAACUAGCUAACUGAAAUCACAAUGUGUGUCACUUGUGAUGUCGUAAGGGAAAAUAAUGAUACUACCUUACUAAUAGUGUCGUCAAAAACUGGUGCCAGAAGACUCGGUAAGACCAGAGACGCAAACGUUAAUCAUCUUAAACAGGCGUAAAGGGUUUGUAGGCUGCUUUGAAAAUCUUAACUUUAAUAUAGCUAAUGUAAAGUUAAGAUGAAUUAAAGCUAGAAUCUAAUAGAGGUUAUAUUAUAUAAUACUUAGAGUAGGGAUUAAAUCCUAAGAUCCUAAGGGGAAUACUAAAGGCGAAAGCAUUUUACCACUAAAGAUUGACGCUGAGAAACGAAGGUGAGGAUAGGAAAUAGGAUUAGAUACCCCGGUACCCCUCUCUGUCAACGAUGAAUGGUAGUCACUAGGUUAAAAUCUAGAGGCGAUGUUAACACGUUAACCAUUCCGCCUUGUGAGUACGACUGCAAAGUUGAAAACAAAAAAAUUAGUCGGUCUCGAAGCAAACGAAGUGAAGCAUGUUAUUUAAUACGAUAACCCGCGUAAAACCUUACCAGUUCUUGCAUACAAACUUCUUUUUCCUUAAUAAGAAUUAGAAGGAGUGUUUUUGUUUUUAAUAAAACACUUAGUUACAGGUGUUGCAUGGCUGUCGUCAGUCCGUAUCGUGAGAAGUUUGGUUAAUUCCUCUAACGGACGAAAUCCCUGUUGUUAAUUUAUUCUUAACAAUUUAUGGUACUGAUAGAGUAUCAUUUGGGGCAAAGACAAGUCGUUAUGGCCCUCAUGAACUGGGCUAUAGACGUGCCACAAAAACUUUUACAAAGUGAUGCAAUACUAAAACAAAUUUGGUGGAGCUAAUCAUUAAAGAAAGUUAAAAUAUAAGAUCGUAGUCGGAUUGUCAUCUGCAAUUCGGUGGCAUGAAGAAGGAAUUUCGAGUAAUCGUUGAUCACUAGCGCAACGGUGAAGAUUUGAAUUCGUGAUGAACUAACUGUCUGUCGCUGGGAAGAAGCUUGAACUGGAGGAAACUGGGGGUAGAUUAGUUUUUACAUAGAUAUACAUUAAGUAGUAGUUUUCAAGCUAUUUAUAUAGUCAAUUAUUAAAAAAACAUCUAUGUUAAGCUAAUUGGCUUUAGUUAAUUCAUUUAGGUAACAUCUCAAAAGUCAUAGCAAGGUAGCUGUACUGGAAAGUGCUGCUGGAAAAUAAAAAAA